CUGCUGCCUCCCGUAGGAGUCUGGUCCGUGUCUCAGUUCCAAUGUGGGGGACCUUCCUCUCAGAACCCCUACGCAUCGUCGGCUUGGUGGGCCGUUGCCCCACCAACUACCUAAUGCGCCGCAUGCCCAUCCGUGACCGGGGUCGCCCCCUUUGGCCGGCAGGGGAUGUCCCCUCCCGGCAUUAUGUUGUAUUAGGCGGGAUUUCUCCCGGUUAUCCAUCUGUCACGGCCAGGUUGCAUACGUGUUACUCACCCGUGCGCCGGUCGCCGGCGG
rnacentral:rRNA from 1 species